UCCCUGGUGGCUCAGACAGUAAAGUCUCUGCCUGCAAUGCAGGAGACCUGGGUUCGAUCCCAGGUAGGGAA
rnacentral:tRNA from 1 species